AUGUGUGCCCUUAAUAGGGCUAAUAAGAGAUGAUUAAUUGCUUUCCCCUUAAAAAUCUACUUAAUGUUUUUAUAUUUGUGGAUGUUAUAUUUAGUACAUAUUUCAGGUGGUUCUUUUAAUGGCUCUUAUCACUCUUUAGAAUUAAUCAAUUAAAAAACAAGCCAAGACUUUUUUAAGCUGUAAUCUCAGAGCCCCAGAAAUUUAUGCAUUCCUCAAAGACAUUAAUGGCUAUUUAUAUAGUUAAUUUGGCACUGACUCAUGACAGAAAUGUAUUUCUGUUCUUGGGUCAUUCUGAAAGCACUGAUUUAAAUUACGGCAUAACCUUCAGACACAUUUUCUCUUCAUUUAUAAUUAAUCACUAUGUAGCGGAGUAAAUGCUACAAUCUUGGGAGGCAAGCCAAGUCAAAUGAGGAUGCGAAGCCCUCACCCCACUUUAAAUCUUCCCAAGUUUGGAGCCUGAUGUUUGGGGAGGGAUGGUGUCAAGGGACAGGUGCAUCUCCUGUCCGUGCUGGAUAGAAUAAUUUCAUGACUGGGCAUGUUUUGAUGUGGAGGGAAAGGAGUCACAUUUCCCCAGGGGCCUCUCAAAGCUACAAGACCUUAUUCUAUUAAGCUGUGAAUACUUCAUGCCUAACAAGUAUCUGAUACACAGUAGAAGCUUAAUGACAGAUGAAUAAUAAUUGCAAGAAAAUUCCGUAACCAGAAACCUUCAAGACCUAAACGAAUCUCUAAUUGUGAAGAUUCAGAUUCCACGACAGGAGGCUCCAGUCUCCUUGAACUUGUGCUUCUGGCUUUACCAUUUUCACCCUCUGCGUCACACUAGGAAGGAGUGAGACUUGGACUUUCAUUUUGCACAUCAUUUUAACCUUGGCUGAUGGAAGCUUUCUUCAACUUCCUGUGCAGGUCAGCAACUUAAAGUCGCAGUUUCCAUAGAGAUCACACUGUGUUGUGGCCUCAUCCUUGAAGCUCUGGAUCAGUAAAAGAGUGCACUGGGGGUGUCAGGUAGAUGAUGUGCUAGGACCUUGUUUUAGUCAGCUUUUUCACUGUUGUGACUAAAGGAUCUGAGCAGAACAGUCGUAGAGGAGGUAAAACACACCUUUUUUGCAGCUUCUCUGGGAGGUCAUGGGGUUUUAUUGCACUCAGCCCUAAGAGCUGUGUAAAUCCUAAAUGUUGGCAGCAGAGGACAUCUUUGGCAUGAAAUAUUGUUUCCUUUCCUUUUAUGGUCAGUGAAGAAAUUAAAGUUUGUGGUUGUUUCCUUUCUUUCUUUUCUCAGAGAAUGUUUAGUCUAUAUAUGAGAACAGUUUUGAGCUUCUUAUUUUUAUUGUAAUCUCUAAUUCUUUUUCAGCAGAGAUAGGCUUUGUGUAUUACAAAUUUCCUUUUUGCUCCGGAAGAAAUGCUUGUUUGGGCUUAUUACG